GUUUGAAUAUCUCAUCCAUUAAAACAAGGAUUGAAAC
rfam:Methanotorris igneus Kol 5, complete genome.